GCUCGUGCUGAAGGCCUGUUUCCUAGGCUACAAACGGGGGACAUAGUUCCUUAAUCUUAACGCCUAGGGGAAAGUCCCCGGACCUUGGGCAGAGAGUGCCGCGUGCGCGCGCACGCACGCCGACCUUCCGCCUCUCACUGUAUACCCGCUAAGAAGUGAAUCCAUCGUCUCCGGUGGGCAGCUGAGCGGCGUGAUAGCGGGAGCGUCAUCCGUCAGCAACGCUAGUUACGCAGGCAGUGCGCCGCCGUGUGCACCAACCAAACGGGGCUCAUUCUCAGCGCGGC
rnacentral:RNase_MRP_RNA from 1 species